GGAGGUAGUGACAAUAAAUCACAAUGCGGAACUUUUAGUUUUGCAAUUGGAUUGAGAACAAUGUACAAAUGUUAUCGAUAAACAAUUGGAGGGCAAGUCUGGUGCCAGCAGCCGCGGUAAUUCCAGCUCCAAUAGCGUAUAUUAACGUUGUUGCAGUUAAAAAGCUCGUAGUUGAAAUGUGGGAUGAAGUAUAUAAUGAAUUUCUAAUUCAAUUGUAUAUUGAUUCCCCUCUCCAAUUUAUUAUUAUGGGUAUUAAUUUAUUUGUAAUAAGAAUUGGUCAUUUACUGUGAGAAAAUUAGAGUGUUCAAAGCAGGCAUUUGCUUGAAUAGAUUAGCAUGGAAUAAUACUAAAAGGCUUUUAUGGUCGAUUUAAUUGGUUUGUUCAUAAAAGCAAGAUUAAAAGGAACAGUUGGGGGUAUUCAUAUUCAAUAGUUAGAGGUGAAAUUCUCGGAUUUAUGGAAGAUGAACAAGUGCGAAAGCA
rnacentral:rRNA from 3 species